rnacentral:pre_miRNA from 1 species
UUGUCUUAAAUUUGUCUAGAUACGGAUGUAUCUAAUACUAAAAUGUGACUUGAUACAUCCGUAUCUAGAGAAAUCUAAGACAAGAAUUUUGGGACAGAGGGAGUAGUUG